AUUGAACGCUGGCGGAAUGCUUUACACAUGCAAGUCGAACGGCAGCACGGGGCUAUCUGGUGGCGAGUGGCGAACGGGUGAGUAAUACAUCGGAACGUGCCCAAUCGUGGGGGAUAACGUAGCGAAAGUUACGCUAAUACCGCAUACGAUCUACGGAUGAAAGCGGGGGAUCGCAAGACCUCGCGCGAAUGGAGCGGCCGAUGUCAGAUUAGGUAGUUGGUGGGGUAAAGGCUCACCAAGCCGACGAUCUGUAGCUGGUGUGAGAGGACGACCAGCCAGGCUGGGACUGAGACGCGGCCCAGACUCCUACGGGAGGCGGCAGUGGGGAAUUUUGGACAAUGGGCGCAAGCCUGAUCCAGCCAUUCCGCGUGCAGGAUGAAGGCCUUCGGGUUGUAAACUGCUUUUGUACGGAACGAAACGGUUCACUCUAAUACAGGGGGCUAAUGACGGUACCGUAAGAAUAAGCACCGGCUAACUACGUGCCAGCAGCCGCCGUAAAAC
rnacentral:rRNA from 1 species